rnacentral:lncRNA from 1 species
UUGACUCUCCACCGAUCGUCUCUCACGUCACUCACCCUCCGUAUCCCAAAAUACUCACACCUACCGUCUUCUUUCCUUGUCCUUCUCCUCCACCGCUACACCUAUCUCCUGUCUCUUACCGUACUACUUCCCGUGAGUUGCUGUUUCGAUGACGAUGAUGAUCUGGAGGAUAAUUCCGAUAACCUUCUCCUCUGCCUCAUCGCCUAUCCUCCCCACCGUCAUCGCCUCCGACACCUACGAUUUAUGCUGGGGUCGGUGUCUUCGGCGGCUCUGCAGAAGGUUUCGAU